CCUGGUGAAAUUAGCGCUGUGGAACCACCCGAUCCCAUCCCGAACUCGGAAGUGAAACGCAGCUGCGCCGAUGGUAGUGUGGCUCAAGCCAUGC
rnacentral:rRNA from 2 species